rnacentral:rRNA from 1 species
AUUGAACGCUGGCGGCAGGCCUAACACAUGCAAGUCGAACGAGUGGCGGACGGGUGAGUAAUGUAUGGGAAUCUGCCUGAUGGAGGGGGAUAACUAAUGGAAACUGUUGCUAAUACCGCAUACCAUCGGAUGUGCCCAGGUGGGAUUAGCUUGUUGGUGGGGUAACGGCUCACCAAGGCGACGAUCCGUAGCUGGUCUGAGAGGAUGACCAGGCACACUGGAACUGAGACACGGUCCAGACGCCUACGGGAGGCAGCAGUGGGGAAUAUUGGACAAUGGGCGCAAGCCUGAUGCAGCCAUGCCGCGUGUAUGAAGAAGGCCUUCGGGUUGUAAAGUACUUUCAGCGGGGAGGCGUUACCCGCAGAAGAAGCACCGGCUAACUCCGUGCCAGCAGCCGCGGUAAUUC